AUUGAACGCUAGCGGGAGGCCUUACACAUGCAAGUCGAACGGAGUGGCGAACGGGUGAGUAAUGCAUCGGAACGUGCCUAGUAGCGGGGGAUAACUACGCGAAAGCGUAGCUAAUACCGCAUACUAUUAGAGCUGCCGAUAUCGGAUUAGCUAGUUGGUGGGGUAACGGCUCACCAAGGCGACGCUCCGUAGCUGGUUUGAGAGGAGGAACAGCCACACUGGGACUGAGACACGGCCCAGACUCCUACGGGAGGCAGCAGUGGGGAAGUUUGGACAAUGGGGGAAACCCUGAUCCAGCCAUCCGGCGUGUGCGAUGAAGGCCUUCGGGUUGUAAAGCACUGUUAGCAGGGAGGCGGUACCUACAGAAUAAGCACCGGCUAACUACGUGCCAGCAGCCGCGGUAAUUC
rnacentral:rRNA from 1 species